UACAGAGGGUGCAAGCGUUGCUCGGAAUUAUUGGGCGUAAAGGGUAGGUAGGUGGUCUCAUUUGUCGGGGGUGAAAGCCUUGGGCUUAACCCAAGAAGUGCCUUCGAAACGGUGAGACUGGAGUCCUGGAGAGGGUCGUGGAAUUCCCGGUGUAGCGGUGAAAUGCGCAGAUAUCGGGAGGAACACCAAUGGCGAAGGCAGCUCGCUGGGACGUUACUGACGCUGAGACGCGAAAGCGUGGGGAGCAAACAGG
rnacentral:rRNA from 1 species